rnacentral:lncRNA from 1 species
AUGGUAAAGAUUAUUACGAUGAAAUCUUUGGGAGUGAGCCAGCACAUGGAAGAUGAGAGAUAUCUUUUCUCUUUCUGUAGCCCUUUCUUUUUCCUUUUUUUUUUUUUUUUUUUUUUUUUAUAUUCUCUUUACAAGUGGUUACAGGUGGGGUUUUUUUUGUUUGUUUUUAAGAUUUAUUUAUUUUUAUUUGAGAGACAGAGCUAUCUUUCAACUACUGGUUCACUUUUCAUGCCAGCAACAGCUAGGAUGAAGCUAGGAGCCAGAACUCCACAGACCUCCCUGUGGUUAUCAGAAACCCAAGUGCUUGGCGCUCAUCUGUUGCCUUUCCAGUGCAUUAGCAGGAAGGUGUAAGCGGGACUUGCACCAGUCCUGCCCCCUCAGGCAGUUUUUUAAUCUCCCAUUCUCCCUAUACCAAACAUGUAAAGUAAUACUGAAAAACUGUAGUGAUUAAAUAUUUCUAAAGAUAGAGCCCCUUUUAUGAUGUUUCACUUAAUGCCUUCAAUGCAAAUUUCAAUGAUACUUGUACCCAAAUUGUUACUAUACAGUGCAAUUCAGACAUCAACCCCCCAACCCCAUAGGAAAAAAAAAACCAACACAUCUGAGGCUUUCUGGCCAACCCAAAGGAACUGAGCAGUAUUACAUUUACACAUCCAGUUUCAAAACAUGGACAGAUGAGAUCAGAAUUUGAAAAUUUGCAGCUUGUAUGCAAUGUGGGUAAAGUUUACCCCAUUUUUAAGUUGUAUUCAUGAAAAUCUCAUCUGUAUCAUUCUCUUUUUUUCUCUGAUGUCAGAAAUCUAACUUUGUGUUUAAGGUCUAAGAAGAGAAUGCUAGAACUUUUUAAUUUAGUUAUAAACAGUAACAUCUUAAGUGUGAUAAGCCAAAACAAAGCUCUGUUUGGCGAAGUCACAGUCCCCAGGGAUUUGCUAAACAGCAGCAGCACUGUUCACAGUGUCAGCUGAGGCGUUAUUUGUGUCCUUCUGUAAUGGCUUCUUGUUCCAUCACAGCCAUUGAAGAAGGUGUGGUGCUUACAUAGUCUUCGUUAAGGAUUCUUUUCAUCAGUGCUUAGAUUAGCCAACAAAACCUGGAUGUCAGAAUUUGAGAGUUUGACUCUGCUGGAUCUAUUGCUGGUCUGCCAAUAUGAUCUCUCACAAAUCACCAGAUUUCCUUUCUGCCCUCAUUUAUUGGUCUCUGGCAUCUAAGAACAGACUGACGUUUAAUGUAAGCGAGGUUAUAAAUAAUAAAUUAUAAACUGUCUUGAGGAGUAUGACA